AGGUACACCUCUGGUCAUCUCUGCUGGGGGAAGAUGGAGGGGGUUAGCAGAAUUUGAAUAUGGAAGAGCAGAGCGCUUCAAUGGUGGAGGAAGUCAACUGUUCUGAUCAUCUUAUGUCAUUUGUCGAUAGUAUAACAUGUCACGUGGCAGUGCUGACCUGUGUAAAAUUUCACUGAGUCGUGUAUCUUCUUUUCUGGAGCUCACUCUGUAAAAUAGGUAUCCCACUAAAAGAACCUGCUCUGAAGAGUUCCUUCACUGUGCAGUCUUUCAGGACCAAGUGUUGUGGACUUGAUACCAUUUUGUUAAUUUCAUCAGUGGUGGGAUUCAUGGUGACCACAAAGAGUUUGUAUCAUGCUUCUCAGCCUUCUUCAGAAUCAAAUGGUGGCCUUAGCUGGGAGAAGAUGGUGCACAUUGGAGUGGACUAUUGACUCCAUUGCAUCCAUAUGCACUCUUCUACUCUGCUUCCCAGAUGAGGACGGAGAGAAAGAAA